UGGGGGAUGGUCUAAUGGCAGGACGAGCGGCUCUGACCCGCUUAGUGAAGGUUCGAAUCCUUCUCCCCCAGCCA
rnacentral:tRNA from 2 species